rnacentral:snoRNA from 1 species
AAGCACUGCCAGUGAACCUGAUGUGUCUUCUUGGGGUGUCAUGGACCAAAUAAAAUGCCAGAGCCUAGCAACUUGUGAUAACUAGGGCUCUUCAGCUCUCAAUUGAACUGCUCCUUUAAAAACAAGGUACAUUU